rnacentral:rRNA from 1 species
UUGGAGGGCAAGUCUGGUGCCAGCAGCCGCGGUAAUUCCAGCUCCAAUAGCGUAUAUUAAAGUUGUUGUGGUUAAAAAGCUCGUAGUUGAACCUUGGGCCUGGCUGGCCGGUCCGCCUCACCGCGUGUACUGGUCCGGCCGGGCCUUUCCCUCUGUGGAACCCCAUGCCCUUCACUGGGUGUGGCGGGGAAACNGGACUUUUACUGUGAAAAAAUUAGAGUGCUCCAGGCAGGCCUAUGCUCGAAUACAUUAGCAUGGAAUAAUAGAAUAGGA